GGGGAAUAUUGGACAAUGGGGGAAACCCUGAUCCAGCGACGCCGCGUGUGUGAAGAAGGCCUGCGGGUUGUAAAGCACUUUUAGUGGGGACAAAAAGCUACGGAUUAAUACUCUGUGGUCUUGAUUUAACCCAAAGAAAAAGCACCGGCUAACUCUGUGCCAGCAGCCGCGGUAAUGCAGAGGGUGCGAGCGUUAAUCGGAAUUACUGGGCGUAAAGCGCGCGUAGACGGUUUUGUAAGUCAGAUGUGAAAUCCCUGGGCUCAACCUGGGAACUGCAUUUGAGACUGCAUGGCUAGAGUAUCGAAGAGGGAAGUGGAAUUUCCGGUGUAGCGGUAAAAUGCGUAGAUAUCGGAAGGAACACCAGUGGCGAAAGCGACUUCCUGGUCGAAUACUGACGUUCAUGUGCGAAAGCGUGGGUAGCAAACAGGAUUAGAUACCCUGGUAGUCCACGCCCUAAACGAUGCAUACUUGGUGUGAGCCGUUCAUUCGGUUCGUGCCGGAGCUAACGCGUUAAGUAUGCCGCCUGGGGAGUACGGUCGCAAGGCUG
rnacentral:rRNA from 1 species